CAUUUUUGAGAAACCUAGCGUAAAUACUGUAAGUAUUCCAGAGUUUAAUAAAUCCUCAAAACCA
rnacentral:tRNA from 1 species